rnacentral:lncRNA from 1 species
GGGAAGGGGAGGCAGAGAGGAAAUCAAACAAGAGAGCUCAGGCAGCAUCUGGAAGUGGUACUGAGCAGUACAAGCUGCUCUUUCAGCAGUCCUACCCAGGAUGAGCUGCUCCCCUGGAUGUGCUGCCAAUGCUGGGGCUCAGCCGGCAGCCCUCCCUUUGCAGGCUUUCUGUUCAUCGAAGAGGUUUGUACAUCACUGAAACAAUGCACAGCAGGGAUCACUGUUUGUGGUAUUUCAGGAUAUGUCUUCCUAGAGAGUGGCUUUAAAUAAAAGCAAGUUGCUUGACUUCAGUCCAGGAGUACAGAGGAGGAAAACUGAGGCCUGCCCAUAAACCAGAUGAUCUAGGCCUUCUUUCAAGAAUUUCUCAUCAAAUUCACUCUUGAGGACCUCAACAUCUUACGCAAUGCAGCAUAAACCAACUGAAUGCAUCUCUAUCCUAGUAUUUUUCCUGCAUCUAUUCUGUAUUUAACAUAGAUCUAGGAAUCACUGGUGUAAUAUUAACAGUUGGCACCAUGUGGCAAUAAGACAGGACUGCAAUCCCUCUCUUGCAGGACUGCACUAAACCCCGCUAAAUUAUAGGAAAUGCUAUCAACACAAGCACAAAUAUCCCUGAUUUAAAGCACAACAGAGACAGUGCUGCAGACCUGUUUCCAGCUUUUGAGUCCUACAGAUUGCUACUGAGAAAACACAGCUGCUUCCACACUGAACCACUCCCGUGUAUUACUUGUAGAAGGAACUGCUACAUCCGCCAGAAGUACAUGAACACGAUACGUCUGGAAUGCAGAAGAACAUCUUCAUCUGGAGUCGUUUUCCUUGAUUUUUGCCUAUCCAAGUUAUUUUUGUGCUUCCAGAAGAAAGUCAUCAGGACUAUCAUAAUUAAUUAGUCGAAAGAUGAAGGCGGCUGAUUGCACUAAUAAUCAUAAAUAGAUCAGACAGAUUUAAAUCAUGAAGCCAAAUACAAGGGGAGAGACUAAAAUAGCUCUUCCAGGCUUGAAAGGAGAAGUGUACUGUAAGGGAAGAAACCAGAUAACUCCCAGUCUUAGAAUUCUUAGUUUGAUAGUUUGAUGCACUAUUUCAUAAUCCAG